CCUACGGGCGGCAGCAGUGAGGAAUAUUGGUCAAUGGGCGUGAGCCUGAACCAGCCAAGCCGCGUGAGGGAAGAAGGUACAGCGUAUCGUAAACCUCUUUUGCCAGGGAACAAAGGCGGGGACUAGUCCCCGGCUGCGGGUACCUGAAGAAAAAGCAUCGGCUAACUCCGUGCCAGCAGCCGCGGUAAUACGGAGGACGCGAGCGUUAUCCGGAUUUAUUGGGUUUAAAGGGUGCGCAGGCGGCCUGUAAAGUCAGCGGUAAAAGCGCGGGGCUCAACCCCGGCGAGCCGUUGAAACUGGAGGGCUGGAGUUGGAGAGAGGCAGGCGGAAGUCGCGGUGUAGCGGUGAAAUGCUUAGAUAUCGCGCGGAACCCCGAUUGCGAAGGCAGCGUACCGGCGCCACACUGACGCUGAGGCACGAAGGCGUGGGUAUCGAACAGGAUUAGAUACCCCGGUAGUC
rnacentral:rRNA from 1 species